rnacentral:rRNA from 1 species
AUUGAACGCUGGCGGCAGGCCUAACACAUGCAAGUCGAGCGGAUGAAGGGAGCUUGCUCCUGGAUUCAGCGGCGGACGGGUGAGUAAUGCCUAGGAAUCUGCCUGGUAGUGGGGGAUAACGUCCGGAAACGGGCGCUAAUACCGCAUACGUCCUGAGGGAGAAAGUGGGGGAUCUUCGGACCUCACGCUAUCAGAUGAGCCUAGGUCGGAUUAGCUAGUUGGUGGGGUAAAGGCCUACCAAGGCGACGAUCCGUAACUGGUCUGAGAGGAUGAUCAGUCACACUGGAACUGAGACACGGUCCAGACUCCCACGGGAGGCAGCAGUGGGGAAUAUUGGACUAAGGGCGAAAGCCUGAUCCAGCCAUGCCGCGUGUGUGAAGAAGGUCUUCGGAUUGUAAAGCACUUUAAGUUGGGAGGAAGGGCAGUAAGUUAAUACCUUGCUGUUUUGACGUUACCAACAGAAUAAGCACCGGCUAACUUCGUG